rnacentral:rRNA from 1 species
UACGUAGGGGGCUAGCGUUGUCCGGAAUCACUGGGCGUAAAGGGUGCGUAGGCGGGUCUUUAAGUCAGGGGUGAAAUCCUGGAGCUCAACUCCAGAACUGCCUUUGAUACUGAAGAUCUUGAGUUCGGGAGAGGUGAGUGGAACUGCGAGUGUAGAGGUGAAAUUCGUAGAUAUUCGCAAGAACACCAGUGGCGAAGGCGGCUCACUGGCCCGAUACUGACGCUGAGGCACGAAAGCGUGGGGAGCAAACAGG